UCCGGUUUAGACCGGCGGUCUCCCUAGAGAUUUCACCAAAAUUUCCUAUGCAUGUCAAACCCAGGUAAGGUUCUUCGCGUUGCCUCGAAUUAAACCACACGCUCCGCUGCUUGUGCGGGCCCCCGCCUAUUCCUUUGAGUUUUAACCUUGCGGCCGUAGUCCCCAGGCGGUGAACUUAAUGCGUUAGCUGCGGCACUGAUCGGGUCAAUCCGACCAACACCUAGUUCACAACGUUUAGGGCGUGGACUAC
rnacentral:misc_RNA from 1 species